rnacentral:rRNA from 1 species
UGGCUAACUCCUACGGGAGGCAGCAGUGGGGAAUAUUGCACAAUGGGCGCAAGCCUGAUGCAGCCAUGCCGCGUGUAUGAAGAAGGCCUUCGGGUUGUAAAGUACUUUCAGCGGGGAGGAAGGCGACGCGGUUAAUAACCGGGUCGAUUGACGUUACCCGCAGAAGAAGCACCGGCUAACUCCGUGCCAGCAGCCGCGGUAAUACGGAGGGUGCAAGCGUUAAUCGGAAUUACUGGGCGUAAAGCGCACGCAGGCGGUCUGUCAAGUCGGAUGUGAAAUCCCCGGGCUUAACCUGGGAACUGCAUUCGAAACUGGCAGGCUAGAGUCUUGUAGAGGGGGGUAGAAUUCCAGGUGUAGCGGUGAAAUGCGUAGAGAUCUGGAGGAAUACCGGUGGCGAAGGCGGCCCCCUGGACAAAGACUGACGCUCAGGUGCGAAAGCGUGGGGAGCAAACAGGAUUAGAUACCCGUGUAGUCCAGCUGG